rnacentral:tRNA from 1 species
CCCUGGAUGGCUCAGUUGGUAAAGAAUCCGCCUGCAAUGCAGGAGACCCUGGUUCAAUUCCUGGAUCAGGAA